UACCUGGUUGAUCCUGCCAGUAGUCAUAUGCUUGUCUCAAAGAUUAAGCCAUGCAAGUCUAAGUACGAGCUCUCGUACAGUGAAACUGCGAAUGGCUCAUUAAAUCAGUUAUGGUUCAUUUGAUCGUACAGUUUACUUGGAUAACUGUGGUAAUUCUAGAG
rnacentral:ncRNA from 1 species